rnacentral:rRNA from 1 species
AGCUCGAAGAAACAUAAUUUUGAGUGAAGCCUGCCCAGUGCUUGAGUGUUAACGGCCGCAGUAUCUUGACUGUGCUAAGGUAGCAAAAUAAUUUGGCUUUUAAAUGGAGUCGGGAAUGAAUGGAUCCAUGGGGUAAAGCUGUCUCUACUGUAUUAACUUUAAUUUACUUACUAGGUGAAAAUGCCUAGAUUAUUAGAAAAAAGACGAGAAGACCCUAGGAGUUUUAAUUAAGAGUUACUGUAUUGUAACUUAAAUUUUUGUUGGGGCGACAAUGGAGUAUAAGAAUAGAGAACCUCCAUUACUAUAUUUGCCGACUUUGUAUGAGGAAUUAAACUACCCUAGGGAUAACAGCGUAAUUUUUUUAAGCUUGCGACCUCGAUGUUGGACUAGGAAUUUGGUAGGCUAGCCGCCUAUUUAAAGGGUUCUGUUCGAACUGUACCUCCU